GACGAACGCUGGCGGCGUGCUUAACACAUGCAAGUCGAGCGGUAAGGCCCUUUCGGGGGUACACGAGCGGCGAACGGGUGAGUAACACGUGGGUGACCUGCCUUUAGCUCUGGGAUAAGCCUGGGAAACUGAGUCUAAUACCGGAUACGACUCCGCGGUGCAUGCUGUGGGGUGGAAAGCCUUGUGCGGCUGGAGAUGGGCCCGCGGCCUAUCAGCUUGUUGGUGGGGUGAUGGCCACCAAGGCGACGACGGGUAGCCGGCCUGAGAGGGCGACCGGCCACACUGGGACUGAGACACGGCCCAGACUCCUACGGGAGGCAGCAGUGGGGAAUCUUGCGCAAUGGGCGAAAGCCUGACGCAGCGACGCCGCGUGA
rnacentral:rRNA from 1 species